rnacentral:tRNA from 1 species
UCCCCAGUGGCGCAACUGGUUAGCGCGCCGUAUUUAUACGACAGUACGUGUGAGAGAUGCGGAGGUUGUGAGUUCGAUCCUCACCUGGGGAA